GCGGUUGUAGCUCAGUCGAAUAGAGCGUGAGUUUCCGAAACUCAAGGUCGGGGGUUUGAUUCCCCCCAAUCGCA
rnacentral:tRNA from 1 species